rnacentral:rRNA from 1 species
UACGGGGGGGGCAAGCGUUGUUCGGAAUCACUGGGCGUAAAGGGCGUGUAGGCGGUCCGCUAAGUCUGAUGUGAAAGCCCGGGGCUCACCCCCGGAAGGGCAUUGGAAACUGGCGGACUCGAGUCCCGGAGAGGAAGGUGGAAUUCCUGGUGUAGCGGUGAAAUGCGUAGAUAUCAGGAGGAAUACCGGUGGCGAAGGCGGCCUUCUGGACGGUGACUGACGCUGAGACGCGAAAGCGUGGGGAGCAAACAGG